UACGUAGGGUGCAAGCGUUGUCCGGAAUUAUUGGGCGUAAAGAGCUCGUAGGCGGUCUGUCGCGUCGAAUGUGAAAACCCGGGGCUCAACCCCGGGCCUGCAUUCGAUACGGGCAGACUAGAGUUCGGUAGGGGAGUCUGGAAUUCCUGGUGUAGCGGUGAAAUGCGCAGAUAUCGGAGGAACACCAGUGGCGAAGGCGGACCGGCUGGGGGUGACCUGGACGCUGAGGCGGCGAAAGCGUGGG
rnacentral:rRNA from 1 species